AACGAACGCUGGCGGCAUGCCUAACACAUGCAAGUCGAACGAGACCUUCGGGUCUAGUGGCGCACGGGUGCGUAACGCGUGGGAACCUGCCCUUAGGUUCGGAAUAACUCCCCGACAGGGGUGCUAAUACCGGAUAAUGUCUUCGGACCAAAGAUUUAUCGCCUUUGGAUGGGCCCGCGUUGGAUUAGCUAGUUGGUAGGGUAAAAGCCUACCACGGCGACGAUCCAUAGCUGGUCUGAGAGGAUGAUCAGCGACACUGGGACUGAGACACGGCCCAGACUCCUACGGGAGGCAGCAGUGGGGAAUAGUGGACAAUGGGCGAAAGGAUGAUGCAGCAAUGCCGGGUGAGUGAUGAAGGCCGUAGGGUUGUAAAGUUCUUUUACCCGGGAUGAUAAUGACAGUACCGGGAGAAUAAGCCCCGGCUAACUCCGUG
rnacentral:rRNA from 1 species